GAGAAUUUUGAUAUCAAUUUCAAAAAUUUGGCCUAAAAUCGGACUAGAAGGGCCAAACCGGUUGAAUUGGGGUCCAAACCGGACCCGUGGGUUCAACCGGACCUAUAAGAUAAAAGAAGCAUCAGCUUCUUCUUCCUCACUUCAUACACCACGCAGAAAAUAGAAAGUGGAAGAGGAGGAAAUCCCUAACCUUCAUCCAAUCUUCAAACCACCGUAUCUUCCUCAUUUAAGCUCCGAUCACCGCACCGUUUGCAGCCACGCGUCCAGCGCGUCGAGCUCUACCUUUCUAUUGGAUCAAUUUUACUAGUUCAAGUUAGCUUCCGGGACUUAUGGACUCAAGCUAUUGAGAAUAUGGGUAUGGUGUAGACUAAGUGGGUAUAUAUGCUUUGGAAUUGAAUUGGGAAUAUUAGGAGGCUUGUUGGUGAUCAAGGCUUGGUUUGUGGCUAUUUUAAUUGAGCUUGGAGGGACUGUGUUUUGUGUUGUGAGGCUGCCUUGGGUGAAACUAAGUGGUCGGCCAAGAUGUAGGUCGAGAGGCUCCUCGCCAGGCGUCUGGAUCUUGGGAAGCGAAGUAGUCCUUGGGUGUAUUUUGGGUUUCUGUUUGUAUAUAUGUAGAUAUGUAUUUAGCUUACUCUCCAAGUAACUUAUGUAUGCUGCUCCUCUUAGAGGUUGAGGGAGAGAUAGGAGUUCACUUUGGUACUUUGGUGUAUUUUGAGAAUACUUAUGUAUGUUUAUAUGCAUAUAUAUAUAUAUCCUCCGGCCAGCCUUAGCUUUGCAGGCUGAGUCAGGAGCUAGUU